rnacentral:lncRNA from 1 species
AAUCUACACAGGAAGUUCUUUGUUUGAGAGCAGGAUGGAGUUAUUUUACUGUGUUUACAUGAAGCUUGGAAGUUAACAAUAACUAAAAGAAUACACCAGGAGUAUAUAAACAGCAUACAGUAUGAAUGAAUGAUUGAAUGGAGAUAAUUCAGUUUAGUGACCCAAUGUAUUGUGUUCAAAGAAGGCUCCAUCCAACAAUUCAAAGACAUGUUAAUGCAGUGAGGCAACUGAUGGCAAAUGAUGGCUUUGUGACGGUUAAUGAAAACUACAUGGUAUUUUACACUGAUGGUGGCGAACAGUGACUGAAAAUUUCUCAACCAAUAGUUACAUUUAGUUGAAAGUGAUGGUAUAAUCUUAUACAGACUAUACUGAAUUAUAACAAACAGUGGAAAACAUUGAUAUACUACAAUGACAGUGGAUCUGUAUAGAAACUGGUGGCAUUUUAGCUCCAUAUUGUUCCACCUAGUGAAGAAAUGUCAAAAUUCAUAAGCAGUUUUGUUAUACUACAGAAUAUUAUAAAAUUAUAAAUUAAGAUGUGACAUGCAUAAUGGUUUCUGAUUUUCAUUUCAGUCCAGUUCUGUCACCAACAUGUUUCCAUGGUAUUUCCAUAGAUUUCCACAGUUAUUUGCCAUGGCAAGCCGUCCGAAUACUCCACGGAUUGCCAUGGAAUUUCACUGGUUUCUGCGGUCAUCUGUGGUGUACCACGGAAAGCCGUGGAUUUCCAUGGAAAGCCAUGGAUUUCCAUGGAACCCUGUGGCAUUCCAUUGAAAUCCAUGGAACUCCACAGAUUUUUUUUUUCGUAUUUUUUUUUUUCAUAAAAAGAUUAUGUAAAUUGGCAGUCCGAAUACUCCAUGGAAUAUUUUCCAUGGAUUUCCAUAGAAUUCCAUGGCAAA